rnacentral:rRNA from 1 species
GAUGAACGCUGGCGGCGUGCCUAAUACAUGCAAGUCGAGCGAACAGACGAGGAGCUUGCUCCUCUGACGUUAGCGGCGGACGGGUGAGUAACACGUGGAUAACCUACCUAUAAGACUGGGAUAACUUCGGGAAACCGGCGCUAAUACCGGAUAACAUGUUGAACCGCAUGGUUCAACAGUGAAAGACGGUCUUGCUGUCACUUAUAGAUGGAUCCGCGCCGCAUUAGCUAGUUGGUAAGGUAACGGCUUACCAAGGCAACGAUGCGUAGCCGACCUGAGAGGGUGAUCGGCCACGCUGGAACUGAGACACGGUCCAGACUCCUACGGGAGGCAGCAGUAGGGAAUCUUCCGCAAUGGGCGAAAGCCUGACGGAGCAACGCCGCGUGAGUGAUGAAGGUCUUCGGAUCGUAAAACUCUGUUAUUAGGGAAGAACAAAUGUGGAAGUAACUAUGCACGUCUUGACGGUACCUAAUCAGAAAGCCACGGCUAACUACGUG